GAUCUCGUCUCGCGGCGGCGAGGUCUUCGUUUGCAGUGUUGUGUUCAUUCAUUUAGCGGCAGGUGAUGUUGACGCCUUAAAUGGUUGCAUCCCAUGCUUAGUGGAUCAGUCGUGCGCGAGAGGUCUUCAUCUCUCUAAGUGCGUACGAGUGUGGCGCAUCGUCGAGAAAUGGCGAUGAUGAUGAUAAUGUUGAUGCUCGAGUGUUGUGGCAAACGUAAGGAUCGUACGGGGAAUAUCAUGCUACACA
rnacentral:misc_RNA from 1 species